GACGGGACCAUUUUAGAGUUUACUUUGGGAUGGUUUAGUGGCGGACGGGUGAGUAACACGUGAGCAACCUACCUUUCAGAGGGGGAUAACAGUUGGAAACGACUGCUAAUACCGCAUAACGUUGUAAAAGGGCAUCCAUUUACAACCAAAAGAGAAAUCUGCUGAAAGAUGGGCUCGCGGCCGAUUAGAUAGUAGGCGGGGUAACGGCCCACCUAGUCAACGAUCGGUAGCCGGACUGAGAGGUUGAACGGCCACAUUGGGACUGAGACACGGCCCAGACUCCUACGGGAGGCAGCAGUGGGGGAUAUUGCACAAUGGGCGAAAGCCUGAUGCAGCGACGCCGCGUGAGGGAAGACGGUCUUCGGAUUGUAAACCUCUGUCUUUGGGGAAGAAUAGAGACGGUACCCAAAGAGGAAGCUCCGGCUAACUACGUGCCAGCAGCCGCGGUAAUACGUAGGGAGCGAGCGUUGUCCGGAAUUACUGGGUGUAAAGGGAGCGUAGGCGGGCUUGUAAGUUGAAUGUCUAAUCCACCGGCUCAACCGGUGAUUGCGUUCAAAACUGCAGGUCUUGAGUGAAGUAGAGGCAGGCGGAAUUCCUAGUGUAGCGGUGAAAUGCGUAGAUAUUAGGAGGAACACCAGUGGCGAAGGCGGCCUGCUGGG
rnacentral:rRNA from 1 species